UUAUUGAUUUCUUUUCUCUCCCAAUUUCUCUCCACUUUUGGAGAGAUUCAAAAUGAGGGUUAUAAGAGAAAUGGUCAUUUCUCUCCUCUUUACUUAUCUAAAUAGGUGAUAUGAACCAAGAGAAGGUUUUUUUUUUUUUUUUCCUUCCCAAAUCACCUAAUCCAAACGGGUGUAUAGUAUUGAUAUGAUAACUCGAUAGAUUUGUACUUAUUGUGGAAUUGACCAUAGCCAUAUUAAUGGAAGAAGUUGUUCAUGAUUUGCAAUUAACCUAAAAAUUCUUGUGGUGGGAUGAUUUCUAGCUCCUUCUUUCCCAAAGUGAGACUAAGGUCUUGAUUGUAUUUCAUGCCCAAGAAUCAAACCACCAGAGUAACUGUCUGGAAGUUUGGCCAGGGGAGCACUCUGAUGACUAAGUUAGCUCCUUUCCUUGUUAAGGGUAUAUAAGGGGCGGAUAUGAGGGGAGACCGGAUAUAAUAUGAGGUGGGUCCCAAAUGUUUUUUUGUCUUCUUAUAUCUCGUGUUUGAUUGCUCCAGAUAUAGGGAGUCCGGAUGGUAUAUGCCUCGAACGGGGGGUAUGCAAUACCAACCCCCUAUGGUAUUGUAUAUCUCCCACCGUCAGAUAUAGAGAAUCUUUUAUCCAAAUGUCAAAAUUAAUUACUUUCUCUUAUCCCAUCUUAUAUCCUAUUUAAACCAAACAUAAUAUAAGUGACCCCACAUUAUAUAUAAUUAAUCUCAUAUCUUACAACAUAUUAUAUCCCAUCUUUAUCCUUAGGUAUUACAUAUCCUUCUCAAACCUUUAUAUCCAAUCCGGACAAUCAAACGGGACCUUAGAGGAUAUAUUUUCACAUACCUUUCAAUCAUUGUUCCUUCCCUAGUUAUAGAGGUGGGUUGGUUUGCGAUAAACACCUUUUCUCUCUCCUGGACCAUGUUUGAGCACAUGAGGACUAUCCUCAAUGCUCUUGCUUGGAUGUGUCAGCUCUCACAUUCCGAUGAGGACUUCACCAACGUUGCUUUGGCAUGCUGCUCUUGCAUAAUGUGUCAGGUGGCUUUCUUAGGGUUAGUUGGUUCAGUUUUUCAGUAGGAGUCUUCCAUGCCAAUAUGGCAGUUGAUAUUAGGCUGAUUACCUGUUGCCUUGGUUGGCUACAGGACCUAUUUGAUGCCGACUUUGCCAUUCAAGCCCUGCAUUCCAGAGAUUCACUGUGAGGACAUCAAAGACGAUUGAGAAUAUUUCUAAUACGGCUGCCCAGAAGAAGCAAGAACUUGCUGAUCAGAUGAAAGAUUUGUCGAAAAAUUUUGAGAAUUUUAAAAAUCAGUGAUUCUUGGCUGUAGUUAGAACCCAUGUUCUACAGAUAGAUUGUAUAAGAGUUUUGAGCUCUCUUUUGGUUUCAUCCUGCUCUGACUUCUGAUGGGCGGGGGCGGUAUUGUAAUUUUGGGAGAUAUGGACAUAAUUUUAUGUUAAUGGAUCAGUAGUCUUUUAUUAAAGCCAAUGACAUUGUGGUUAGUCUUGUAGCAUGUAUCCUAAGAAUGUGGAAUCCUGGUUUGAAUGAGUUGGAUCAUCCUGUUUCUAUCCGCUUGCUUAUAAACUUUUGCAAUUUGUACACA